AUUCAAUGUUACUAUUCAAUUAUUAUUAUUAUUAUUACUUUCUUCAGCAUGGAAGCUACUGGGUAAUCUAGUAGUCUUGUUUUGAAUACAGAGUGGUUCAUUUACAGAGGUUCCUGAAGGUGCUAAAAGGCAUAAGAAAUAUCAAAGUCUAGAGAGGAGUAGCCAUGGGAGGAAUUACAGAGAUGGCUUGGCUAAGAAACCAUGUUUCUUGGCGAACUCCACCUUUCUCAUGCUUAGCAUGAGCCAACACCAUGGGUAAAAGUCCAUGAUUCCCAUAAUCCCCUCAACAUUUUGGAAAAAAUAAUCUUUUAUUAUACUGAAGAGAAGCAAAAUAUCUCAUCCCAAUAAAACCUAUUAAGGUUUUAUUUAAUUUUAGAAUUCAAGAACUCCAGAUAGUGGUUCAAGCUAACUGCAGAGACCUUAAGCAGUUACAUAUUUUUCAAGUCGCAAGUUAAGAAGACCAAAUUAAACAUAAGAGAGAGACCAUUAAUAAUAGAUUUUAAUUAAAACACAAAAGGUUUAUCAAAUACUAUCUUUCUACAUUGCAAUGUGAUCUUGACAUAGGUGACAUUUUACAGUAUGAGAGAGCAUGCUGCUUCAUCAGUCUUCAUCUUACAUAAAUUCCGAGAAGAUGCUAAUCUCAAAAUUUUCAAGAAAUUGAGGGGAAAAUCCUAGCUAUAAUUUAAUGAACUCUGCCUACCUGUGCCAGUUUCCCUGUGUAUUAUAUAAUUUAAUCUUUUUAACAACAUUUUAGGUAGGAUAUUACUCAAGCAGACAGAAGAAAAUUAUGACUCAGAAAAAUGAAAUCCUUUGCUCCAGGUCAUUUAGCUGAUAUAUAGGGCCAGGAUUUAAAUGUGUCAGUCUGAAUCUAGACCAGUGUUUUUUUUCUUCAUUAUCUCCUUCCCUAAGAAAUGAUAUAGAGCUUUUCUUUUUUUCCAGAAUAAAUGCUGCAAGGAAGAUUCUGGCCUUACAAAGUACUGAAAUAUCUGCAUUUAAAAAAAAACUGGAAUCCUGGAGAAGUAAUGCCCGUUGUCCAGUGUUAUUUGUCUUUUUAAUGGCCGAUUAUCAAGAAUCAUGUCAUGGUAGAUUCCCAGGAGAACAUUCAAGCAGGGAGUCUUUUCAUGAUCCUCCCAAAAUGUUAUUCAUUAUAAAAUAGCUUGUCAUUUUGUCUGACUAUAUUC
rnacentral:lncRNA from 1 species